GAUGAACGCUGGCGGCGUGCCUAAUACAUGCAAGUCGAGCGAACGGACGAGAAGCUUGCUUCUCUGAUGUUAGCGGCGGACGGGUGAGUAACACGUGGAUAACCUACCUAUAAGACUGGGAUAACUUCGGGAAACCGUAGCUAAUACCGGAUAAUAUUUUGAACCGCAUGGUUCAAAAGUGAAAGACGGUCUUGCUGUCACUUAUAGCUGGAUCCGCGCUGCAUUAGCUAGUUGGUAAGGUAACGGCUUAUCAAGGCAACGAUGCAUAGCCGACCUGAGAGGGUGAUCGGCCACACUGGAACUGAGACACGGUCCAGACUCCUACGGGAGGCAGCAGUAGGGAAUCUUCCGCAAUGGGCGAAAGCCUGACGGAGCAACGCCGCGUGAGUGAUGAAGGUCUUCGGAUCGUAAAACUCUGUUAUUAGGGAAGAACAGAUGUGUAAGUAACUGUGCACAUCUUGACGGUACCUAAUCAGAAAGCCACGGCUAACUACGUG
rnacentral:rRNA from 1 species